rnacentral:tRNA from 1 species
CGCGGGAUAGAGAAGUAGUAUCUCGCGAGGCUCAUAACCUCGAGACGUGGGUGCAAUUCCCACUCCCGCAACAA